GUAAUGGUGGAGCUAAACUAUAUGUGUUAGCUUCUAAAUUAAAACUCUGGGUACCAAAAACAAAAAGAAACACAGAAAGAGAAAAGAAGAGUUACAGUAUACCACCCAAUUCUUCACAGAGAAAGGUCGAAAUACAGAUGCAGCUUCAUCCUCAGCAGCCCUGUGUCCACAUACCUCCCACUAUCAAUGACCCAGCCCUGCGCCCAACUGAGGAAGGAGGAUUCUUCAUUCACCAUGGAGGCAUGCAAGAAAAAUUUACACGUGCAAGUUUUCUUCAUGAAU